rnacentral:rRNA from 1 species
ACGGGUGAGUAAUGUAUCGGAACGUGCCCAGUUGUGGGGGAUAACUGCUCGAAAGAGCAGCUAAUACCGCAUACGACCUGAGGGUGAAAGCGGGGGAUCGCAAGACCUCGCGCAAUUGGAGCGGCCGAUAUCAGAUUAGGUAGUUGGUGGGGUAAAGGCUCACCAAGCCAACGAUCUGUAGCUGGUCUGAGAGGACGACCAGCCACACUGGGACUGAGACACGGCCCAGACUCCUACGGGAGGCAGCAGUGGGGAAUUUUGGACAAUGGACGCAAGUCUGAUCCAGCCAUGCCGCGUGCGGGAAGAAGGCCUUCGGGUUGUAAACCGCUUUUGUCAGGGAAGAAACGCUCUGGGUUAAUACCUCGGGGUAAUGACGGUACCUGAAGAAUAAGCACCGGCUAACUACGUGCCAGCAGCCGCGGUAAUACGUAGGGUGCAAGCGUUAAUCGGAAUUACUGGGCGUAAAGCGUGCGCAGGCGGUUAUGCAAGACAGAGGUGAAAUCCCCGGGCUCAACCUGGGAACUGCCUUUGUGACUGCAUAGCUAGAGUACGGUAGAGGGGGAUGGAAUUCCGCGUGUAGCAGUGAAA